GACGAACGCUGGCGGCGUGCCUAAUACAUGCAAGUCGAGCGAGACUCUUCGGAGUCUAGCGGCGGACGGGUGAGUAACACGUGGGCAACCUGCCUGUAAGACUGGGAUAACACCGGGAAACCGGUGCUAAUACCGGAUAAUCCUUUUCCUCUCACGAGGAAAAGCUGAAAGACGGUUUCGGCUGUCACUUACAAAUGGGCCCGCGGCGCAUUAGCUAGUUGGUGAGGUAACGGCGCACCAAGGCGACGAUGCGUAGCCGACCUGAGAGGGUGAUCGGCCACACUGGGACUGAGACACGGCCCAGAAUCCUACGGGAGGCAGCAGUAGGGAAUCUUCCACAAUGGACGAAAGUCUGAUGGAGCAACGCCGCGUGAGCGAUGAAGGCCUUCGGGUCGUAAAGCUCUGUUGUUAGGGAAGAACAAGUACCGGAGUAACUGCCGGUACCUUGACGGUACCUAACCAGAAAGCCACGGCUAACUACGUGCCAGCCGCCGCAGUAAGAC
rnacentral:rRNA from 1 species